rnacentral:rRNA from 1 species
AACGAACGCUGGCGGCAUGCCUAACACAUGCAAGUCGAACGAGACCUUCGGGUCUAGUGGCGCACGGGUGCGUAACGCGUGGGAACCUGCCCUUAGGUUCGGAAUAACUCCCCGAAAGGGGUGCUAAUACCGGAUAAUGUCUUCGGACCAAAGAUUUAUCGCCUUUGGAUGGGCCCGCGUUGGAUUAGCUAGUUGGUAGGGUAAAAGCCUACGAAGGCGACGAUCCAUAGCUGGUCUGAGAGGAUGAUCAGCCACACUGGGACUGAGACACGGCCCAGACUCCUACGGGAGGCAGCAGUGGGGAAUAUUGGACAAUGGGCGAAAGCCUGAUCCAGCAAUGCCGCGUGAGUGAUGAAGGCCUUAGGGUUGUAAAGCUCUUUUACCCGGGAUGAUAAUGACAGUACCGGGAGAAUAAGCUCCGGCUAACUCCGUG